rnacentral:lncRNA from 1 species
UUGAGUUUUGUAUCCCAUUCUCUCUCUUCCUUCGGCUAUAAAAAGGCCCGGCAGGUCUCAGUUUCUUCCCACAUCCAAAGAUAGAAAGAUGUAAGGUCUAGAGUCUUGCCUUAAUUCCCUAAUAAAACAUAUAAGGUAGCUAGAUUUAUCGGUUAAAUCGCUUGUUUUUGACAAGCUAAUGUUUCAUGACUCAAGUCACAUGCGUAUAAUAUAUCAAAGGUAAGAGGAGGUGACAGAAGAGAGUGAGCACACAUGGUGGCUUUCUUGCAUGCGUUUUUAAUUAGGGUUUUAUGCUUGAAGCUAUGUGUGCUUACUCUCUCUCUGUCACCCCUUCUUUCUCUCUCUAUCUCUCUCUCACACAUGAUAAACCAUAGCUGAUAAAAGAUCUCGAUUUCGUUUGAUUAUCUUUAAGGUUUUGUACUUAUACUAUCAUCAACUGGGUAAGACUAAUUUGAAGCUCGAAAUUUCUCAUUAACAAAAAAUAAUAGUUUGCAACUCUGGUUUUAAUUGCUAAGCUAUUUUUCUCAUUUAUGUGUCAAUUAUUUUGUUUCAUGAGGAUGCAGUUGGACUUAUACAAAGGCCUAUAACUAGGUGCGGCCAAUCAACUAGGGCAUACACUCAAAUAUUACACAAAGAGAGACAGGACUACAGAAAGUUUGAGAACUUGUAUGCCGAAACAAACGAUCCGGACUGAGUUGCAAAAACGACAUCAAAAGUUGUACUUCAUUUCUCAUAAAUAUAGAAAAUUUGAAACAUAAGAAUACAGAAAAUUUGGAUUGAUUAGCUAAGUGAUUAAAGAUGUGAGAUAUAGUUUAUAGCCUGUAUAAUGUCACUGAUAUCUAUAUAAGAAUUAGCGGCAGUCAAAUGUCUUCCCCUA